rnacentral:tRNA from 2 species
GGGCCGGUAGCUCAGGUGGAAGAGCGCUCGGUUGGCAUCCGAGAGGUCCCGGGUUCAAAUCCCGGCCGGUCCA